CCUCAAAGUAGAUUUCUUCCUUCAAAAGCCUCCUCUGAGGCUGCAAUGCAUCUUCACUCCUCCAUUGAGGGUGUGAUUAGGGAUGAAUGGAACAAGCCUGAUACAGCUCAGCUGAAUGACUGAAACUGUAACCACCUCAUUUGUGACUCACUGACUGAUCUUGCCAGCUGUUAGAUUUGAUCUUAUGCUUAUCUUCUCAGACAAAGGAACAAGAAUUACUCAAAACAAAUUUCACUGCCUCUGGAUUUACAGUACAAAGAAUCUGGCUAUUAUGCAGUGCUCUAUCUGUCAAGCUGUAAAUCUCCUGACUGCUUCUGAAAAUAAACAUAAUUCAUUUUAAAGUUAGUCUGGAAAAGAUAAGGGAACAAAAACAAAAGACAAAAAAAGCACCCAUGCCCAACCAAAGGUCUUAUUUCGAGAUGGGACUCGGCAGGAACUGGAAUUUCAAAGUAUGCUGAUGCAAGGGCUGUACUGAUCUUCCUUGUAAAUGACAUCACACUUCCUGUCCCUGUGUUCAGAGCUGGAACCUGGUGAGUUGCUUGAACUGGUAUGCUUCUCUGAAAUUCUGGGUUGUUGGUGAUCUUGAGGUCCACACUGGCUUUCUCUCUUGGAUUUCUGGAGCCAGUCUUUGGAUCUGAGAACCAUUUCAAUAUUAUUUCUCAGAUGCUUUUGGCAAAGUCAUUGGAACAUCUGCCUGAACUGACACAUUUUGUUCUAGUGGGUUUAAAACUUGAUGUUUAACUUAUUGUGACAUAGUCUCCUUCCUUUAGAAGAGUCUUAAGUCAAAUGUAUCAGCAUUUGCCUUUAGGGCGAUGUCUUCACAAGAAGAACUAGACUUCAUGAAAUGGCUCUCCCUGGAGCACUGAAGAGAGUGGACACAACUGUCUCUGAAAUCUACAUCUUGCUGUUGUAGGAAGCCUGGUGCUGAAACCCUGCCUGGGGAGGGAACUUGUUUUAAUGAAGCAGAACAAGCCGUUUGGCAUCAUAAGGGACUGUAACUGACUGGACACUAUAUCCAUAUGGAACUCUAACUAAUAGACCGAGUCUAAAAAUCCAGGGACAAACUUCUUGUGAAAAAAAUAUUUCAAUAUUUUUUCUCAUAGUAUAUAUUUUUUUUUUCAAAAUUUUAACUUCAAAAUUUCAUAAUUCAGAACAUUUCUGCUAGCUCUACUCUGGGUUGAAAAAUCAACAAAAUCUUGUUGAAUAUGUUCCUUUGACCAAUUUUCAAAAUGUCUUCAAAAUUUUGAAUAAUUUCAACCAGCUCUGUAAACUAAGAAGUAUGGAAAGUUAUUUUUAGUGCCAAUAUCAACAAAAAAGAUACAGUAGAGCUAAAACAAGGUAAAUAGUUAAAAAAAAAUAGCUGCACAAAUAAAAUGCAUGGAGGAGCCUCAGGGCUGUCCCCAGCAGUCUAACAAAACGGGAGUAGGGUGGUUCCUUAUACUGUUAUAUAAACACUGGUCAAAGUAAAUGAGAGAGAGGGACAAAGGAUUGCUGGUCAAAAGGAUCUGGACCUGGAUACAACUUCCAGAGGAGAUUUAGCAAAUCCUGAGUCUCUUUGUUGUCAUGAGACCUGCAAAACCUUCCUGUCUGGGGAAAAAAAGCCUUUCCACCAUAGCAAGAAUGAUACUCAUAAUAUCGACACUCCCAUCUGAACAA